rnacentral:rRNA from 1 species
CCUACGGGAGGCUGCAGUGGGGAAUAUUGCACAAUGGGGGAAACCCUGAUGCAGCGACGCCGCGUGAGUGAAGAAGUAAUUCGUUACGUAAAGCUCUAUCAGCAGGGAAGAAAAUGACGGUACCUGAGUAAGAAGCCCGGCAAACUACGUGCCAGCAGCCGCGGUAAUACGUAGGGGGCAAACGUUAUCCGGAUUUACGGGGGGAAAAGGGAGCGUAGACGGUGCGCCAAGUCUGGGGGGAAAUGCCGCAGCUAAACUGCGGAACUGCUUUGGAAACGGGCGAACAAGAGUGCGGGAGGGGUAGGCGGAAUUCCUGGUGAGGCGGUGAAAGAGGUGAAAAUUAGGAGGAAAACCGGUGGCGAGGGCGGCUUACUGGACCGUAACUGACGUUGGGGCUCGAAAGCGUGGGAAGCAAACAGGAUUAGAUACCUGGUAGUC